rnacentral:rRNA from 1 species
UACGAAGGGGGCUAGCGUUGCUCGGAAUUACUGGGCGUAAAGGGAGCGUAGGCGGGUUAUCAAGUUGGAGGUGAAAGCCCAGGCUCAACCUUGGAAUUGCCUUCAAAACUGAUAGCCUAGAGUAUGGAAGAGGUAAGUGGAACUCCGAGUGUAGAGGUGAAAUUCGUAGAUAUUCGGAAGAACACCAGUGGCGAAGGCGACACACUGGGCCAUUACUGACGCUGAGGCGCGAAAGCGUGGGGAGCAAACAGGAUAGAU